AGUGCUCCUCAGCUUUUGAUCUCUCCAGCACUAUGAAGAUUUUCCUGAGUAGUUGUCUCCUCUUGGCCAUCCUUUCUCCAGCAUGUCUGGAUGCUUUGGAGGCAGGUACCGGUUUUGCUUCACAGGAAGUGCCAGCUGUGGGAGUCACACAGGAGUCGGUCAUGGCUGCUGAUGCUGCACCAGCUAUUAUGUGUUUGGAGAAGAACAUAACGGAUCCAUUCUCAGGUAGUAUGUGUGCUAUCCGGAGAGGCAAUUGUUUUGUUCGCAUUACUAAAUACACUUUAAACGGCAGAUUAAGGACUGCAACUGAACUAGGAUGUAUUAAAAUUGCCUCUCAGUGAAUUCCAGCUUCAGUACAGUUGGAGGUCCAUACUAUCGUAGUUUCAUGAAGUGCUGUACAAGCACUUUGUGCAACAAGAAAAUUCCUACUCUGCAAAGUGAUUUAAAUGGGCUGGAGUGUCCAACCUGCUCUGCUCUUGGCAGAAGAUGGUGGGCGCUCAGAACCCAUCAAGUGCUAUGAUGAUGAGACUCAGUGCAUGGACUUUGUUGUCGCUCACAAUGACAGUAAAACUCCUGAUGAAGUAAUCAAAGGAUGUGGAACCCCAUCUUUUUGUACAAUGGCCAAGAGACCAGAGGCUAUCCACAGCUUUCCAGGCACUAUAAGCCAAGUACGAUGCUGUGAUAUUCUGCCUUCCCCAAAGAAGCCCAACUUUGAAGGGUAGCUAGGAGAGAACAUGGUCUUCCUUUGGAUCCCACUCUUUGUUGCAGCAGUGGAGGUGGAGGUUGCUUGCCUAGUGGUGGGACAACAGAGUGGCUGAGAUUCAAAGGACUCCGGAGUCCUCUCUUUGACAUUUAGUCAAGGGUGAAUGGGAUGCAGUUGAUAGAGAAGCUAAAGUAGAAAUGUGGGACUUGGGUGCUCUGUAUCAUGAUAAUAUGGUAUAGGGGUUGAAUUCUCUUUAAAAUA